rnacentral:rRNA from 1 species
GACGAACGCUGGCGGCGUGCCUAACACAUGCAAGUCGAACGGAAAGGCCCUGCUGUUGCGGGGUACUCGAGUGGCGAACGGGUGAGUAACACGGGAGUAACCUGCCCUUGCCUUUGGGAUAGCUUCAGGAAACUGGUGCUAAUAAUGGAUAGGAGCUCCUGCUGUAAGGUGGUGGUUGGUAAGUAUCGGCUGUUGGGGAUGGACUCGCUGCUUAUUAGCCCGUUGGUGGGGUAGAGGCUUACCAAGGUUUUGACGGGUAGCCGGCCUGAGAGGGUGACCGGGCCCAUUGGGCCUGGGGGAGGGCCCAGAGGGCUACGGGAGGCAGGAGUGGGGAAUAGUGCAAAAUGGGCGGAAGCCUGAUAGAAGAACUCCGGGUGCGGGAGGACGGCCUUCGGGUUAGAACCCGCUUUCGCCUGUGACGAAGCGUGAGUGACGGUAAUGGGUAAAGAAGCAACGGCUAACUACGUG